CCCUGUCCAAGGCUCUUUUCACAUUGUACUACUGUAUGAGCCCCUGCCAAGCAAUGCAAUGUAAAAAGGGCAUUGGGUAGGUG
rnacentral:pre_miRNA from 1 species